CACGUAGGGGGCGAGCGUUGUCCGGAAUCAUUGGGCGUAAAGAGCUCGUAGGCGGCUCAGUAAGUCGGGUGUGAAACCCUCAGGCUCAACCUGGGGACGCCACCCGAUACUGCUGUGGCUAGAGUCCAGUAGGGGAGUGUGGAAUUCCCGGUGUAGCGGUGAAAUGCGCAGAUAUCGGGAGGAACACCAGCGGCGAAGGCGGCACUCUGGGCUGGAACUGACGCUGAGGCGCGAAGGCGUGGGGAGCGAACGGG
rnacentral:rRNA from 1 species